rnacentral:rRNA from 1 species
GACGAACGCUGGCGGCGUGCCUAAUACAUGCAAGUAGAACGCACAGUUUAUACCGUAGCUUGCUACACCAUAGACUGUGAGUUGCGAACGGGUGAGUAACGCGUAGGUAACCUGCCUGGUAGCGGGGGAUAACUAUUGGAAACGAUAGCUAAUACCGCAUAAUAUUAAUUAUUGCAUAAUAAUUAAUUGAAAGGUGCAAUUGCACCACUACCAGAUGGACCUGCGUUGUAUUAGCUAGUAGGUGAGGUAACGGCUCACCUAGGCGACGAUACAUAGCCGACCUGAGAGGGUGAUCGACCACACUGGGACUGAGACACGGCCCAGACUCCUACGGGAGGCAGCAGUAGGGAAUCUUCGGCAAUGGACGAAAGUCUGACCGAGCAACGCCGCGUGAGUGAAGAAGGUUUUCGGAUCGUAAAGCUCUGUUGUAAGAGAAGAACGGGUGUGAGAGUGGAAAGUUCACACUGUGACGGUAUCUUACCAGAAAGGGACGGCUAACUACGUG